rnacentral:tRNA from 1 species
GCCUUCGUGGUGUAAUGGCUAGCAUGCUUGGCGCGUAUUCGAGAGGUCCGUGGUUCGAGUCCCGGCGAGGGCA